UAGGGAAUCUUCGGCAAUGGACGGAAGUCUGACCGAGCAACGCCGCGUGAGUGAAGAAGGUUUUCGGAUCGUAAAGCUCUGUUGUUAGAGAAGAACGUUGGUAGGAGUGGAAAAUCUACCAAGUGACGGUAACUAACCAGAAAGGGACGGCUAACUACGUGCCAGCAGCCGCGGUAAUACGUAGGUCCGGAGCGUUGUCCGGGUUUAUUGGGCGUAAAGCGAGCGCAGGCGGUUCUUUAAGUCUGAAGUUAAAGGCAGUGGCUUAACCAUUGUACGCUUUGGAAACUGAAGGAAUUGAGUGCAGAAGGGGAGAGGGGAAUUCCAUGUGUAACGGUGAAAUGCGUAGAUAUAUGGAGGAACACCGGUGGCGAAAGCGGCUCUCUGGUCUGUAACUGACGCUGAGGCUCGAAAGCGUGGGGAGCAAACAGG
rnacentral:rRNA from 1 species